GCAAGUCGAGCGGAAACGAAGAGGUGCUUGCACCUCUGGCGUCGAGCGGCGGACGGGUGAGUAAUGCUUGGGAAUAUGCCUUAUGGUGGGGGACAACAGUUGGAAACGACUGCUAAUACCGCAUGAUGUCUACGGACCAAAGUGGGGGACCUUCGGGCCUCACGCCAUAAGAUUAGCCCAAGUGGGAUUAGCUAGUUGGUGAGGUAAUGGCUCACCAAGGCGACGAUCCCUAGCUGGUUUGAGAGGAUGAUCAGCCACACUGGGACUGAGACACGGCCCAGACUCCUACGGGAGGCAGCAGUGGGGAAUAUUGCACAAUGGGCGCAAGCCUGAUGCAGCCAUGCCGCGUGUGAAGAAGGCCUUCGGGUUGUAAAGCACUUUCAGUAAGGAGGAAAGGUUAAGUGUUAAUAGCACUUAGCUGUGACGUUACUUACAGAAGAAGCACCGGCUAACUCCGUGCCAGCAGCCGCGGUAAUACGGAGGGUGCGAGCGUUAAUCGGAAUUACUGGGCGUAAAGCGUACGCAGGCGGUUUGUUAAGCGAGAUGUGAAAGCCCCGGGCUCAACCUGGGAACUGCAUUUCGAACUGGCAAACU
rnacentral:rRNA from 1 species